CACGUAGGGGGCGAGCGUUGUUCGGAAUUACUGGGCGUAAAGGGCAUGUAGGCGGCUUGGUAAGCCUGGCGUGAAAGACUGCAGCUUAACUGUAGGGAUGCGUUGGGAACUGCUUAGCUUGAGUUACGGAGAGGGAGCUGGAAUUCCUGGUGUAGGGGUGAAAUCUGUAGAUAUCAGGAAGAACACCGAUGGCGAAGGCAAGCUUCUGGUCGAUAACUGACGCUGAGGUGCGAAAGUGUGGGGAUCAAACAGGAUUAGAUACCCUGGUAGUCCACACUGUAAACGAUGUGCACGAGGUGCUGGGGCGGUAGUUUCAGUGCCGGAGCGAACGCGGUAAGUGCACCGCCUGGGGAGUAUGCUCGCAAGGGUGAA
rnacentral:rRNA from 1 species